GACGGAGGGGGCUAGCGUUGUUCGGAAUUACUGGGCGUAAAGGGCGCGUAGGCGGCCAAGUGUGUCAGGGGUGAAAUCCCAGGGCUUAACCCUGGAACUGCUUCUGAAACUGCUUGGCUAGAGUGAGUGAGAGGCGGACGGAAUUCCGAGUGUAGCAGUGAAAUGCGUAGAUAUUCGGAGGAACAUCGGUGGCGAAGGCGGUUCGCUGGUGCUCAACUGACGCUGAGGCGCGAAAGCUAGGGGAGCAAACAGG
rnacentral:rRNA from 1 species